AGCGAACGCUGGCGGCAGGCCUAACACAUGCAAGUCGAACGGAUCCUUCGGGAUUAGUGGCAGACGGGUGAGUAACACGUGGGAACGUGCCUUUUGGUUCGGAACAACUCAGGGAAACUUGAGCUAAUACCGGAUGUGCCCUUCGGGGAAGGAUUAUCGCCAUUAGAGCGGCCCGCGUCUGAUUAGCUAGUUGGUGAGGUAAAGGCUCACCAAGGCUUCGAUCAGUAGCUGGUCNGAGAGGAUGAUCAGCCACACUGGGACUGAGACACGGCCAGACUCCUACGGGAGGCAGCAGUAAGGAAUAUUCCACAAUGGUCGCAAGACUGAUGGAGCAACGCCGCGUGCGCG
rnacentral:rRNA from 1 species